GCAUAACGCGAAGAACCUUACCAGGCCUUGACAUCCAAUGAACUUUCCAGAGAUGGAUUGGUGCCUUCGGGAACAUUGAGACAGGUGCUGCAUGGCUGUCGUCAGCUCGUGUCGUGAGAUGUUGGGUUAAGUCCCGUAACGAGCGCAACCCUUGUCCUUAGUUACCAGCACGUAAUGGUGGGCACUCUAAGGAGACUGCCGGUGACAAACCGGAGGAAGGUGGGGAUGACGUCAAGUCAUCAUGGUCCUUAGGCCUGGGCUACACACGUGCUACAAUGGUCGGUACAGAGGGUUGCCAAGCCGCGAGGUGGAGCUAAGUCUCACAAAACCGAUCGUAGUCCGGAUCGCAGUCUGCAACUCGACUGCGUGAAGUCGGAAUCGCUAGUAAUCGCGAAUCAGAAUGUCGCGGUGAAUACG
rnacentral:rRNA from 1 species